AGAUGCUGUAGCUCAGGGGUUGAGCACCUGCUUGGCAUGCAGAACUUCUUGGGUUCAAUGCCCAGCAUGUCAA